rnacentral:rRNA from 1 species
UGCCAGCCGCCGCGGUAAGACAGAGGGUGCAAGCGUUGUUCGGAAUUACUGGGCGUAAAGGGCGUGUAGGCGGUUUAGUCUGUUCGGUGUGAAAUACCCGAGCUCAACUUGGGAACUGCAUUGAAUACUGCUAAACUAGAGUACUGGAGAGGAAAGUGGAAUUCCUGGUGUAGAGGUGAAAUUCGUAGAUACCAGGAGGAACAUCAGAGGCGAAGGCGACUUUCUGGACAAUUACUGACGCUGAGGCGCGAAAGCGUGGGGAGCAAACAGGAUUAGAUA